rnacentral:rRNA from 1 species
GUUGUAUGGUUAAGUGACUAGGCGUACACGGUGGAUGCCCUGGCAGUCAGAGGCGAUGAAGGACUAGUAACUGAUAAGCGUAGAGCAGUAACCAUUGAGUCUACGAUUUCCGAAUGGGGAAACCCACUGGCAU